GAGUGAGGGAGCCUCCAGGAGAGAAGUCAGACCUGCAAAGGAUGAGUAGAUCUGCACAGGAAGCACAAAGCUCUGGUUACCACUGGAAGCCGUCUUGCCCCCAUAAACCAGCCUUAGGAUGCCACUGAUGCUGUAUGGCAGAAUGGAGUAACAGAGAGAAUUUGCAGAAUAAAGAAGGGACAAUGCAGUCACCAGGUCAGCAUUAAGGGAAGGCUUGGCUGCAUCAUCUGCCACUCUGCUGCUGCUGACUCUGCCAGUGGGGACAGCACAUGCUUCCUUCUACGCUUGCCUGAGCAGAGUUAGCCAGGCCCUCUGUCUUGCAUGAGAUUGAGUGUGAUUCUGGGGAUGCAAAUCAGGAUGUCUCUGGGAAGAAUUGCAUUGUGUAGGUUAUUUCAAUUUAAGAAGUAGCUGCAAGAAGAUUCCAAACACAUUUUGCCUCAAGUCACCUCAAGUUUCUAAUCUUCCUGCUGGAGCUGCCUUUGCAGUGAAAAUAAGAACUGGC
rnacentral:lncRNA from 1 species